rnacentral:rRNA from 1 species
AUUGAACGCUGGCGGAAUGCUUUACACAUGCAAGUCGAACGGUAGAGGGGGCAACCCCUCGAGAGUGGCGAACGGGUGAGUAAUAUAUCGGAACGUGCCCAGUCGUGGGGGAUAACGUAGCGAAAGUUACGCUAAUACCGCAUACGAUCUAAGGAUGAAAGCGGGGGAUCGCAAGACCUCGCGCGAUUGGGGCGGCCGAUGGCAGAUUAGGUAGUUGGUAGGGUAAAGGCCUACCAAGCCGACGAUCUGUAGCUGGUCUGAGAGGAUGAUCAGCCUCACUGGGACUGAGACACGGCCCAGACUCCUACGGGAGGCAGCAGUGGGGAAUUUUGGACAAUGGACGCAAGUCUGAUCCAGCCAUUCCGCGUGCAGGAUGAAGGCCCUCGGGUUGUAAACUGCUUUUGUACAGAACGAAAAGGCUCUGGUUAAUACCUAGGGCUCAUGACGGUACUGUAAGAAUAAGCACCGGCUAACUACGUGCCAGCAGCCGCUGUAA